rnacentral:tRNA from 1 species
GGUCCGAUCCCCAUAGUCGCCUUGAGAUUUUUAAGGAAAAGAAAGAAUAGUGAAAGAAGAUUGAAGUAAGAG